CGGAAAAAGUGACACGUUCAAACACAACGUAGGAAAACAGACACACGUGCAGUGAAGACGAAGAAUAAAGUUUUAUGUUGCGAACAGUAAUGUAUGCGAUAGUGCAAACUACCGGCCCAAAGGAACAAAAGAAAUUGUCUGUUGUGCCAAAACUAUGGCUAAGAAAUCCAAAAAAACAGUAGUAGGAUGCCCAACGAAAUGCACCAUUGAGCAACAGCAGCGGAAGAAUUUGCCAGAGAUGUCUUGGUCAUCCGUCGAGUGUAUUGUUGAAAGAGAAUUUGCAACUUUUGCGGAGGCAAACAUAGCAGUUGGUUGAGAUGUCCGACAUGUCAUCCAGCAGUAGCUCCUGACAUCCUAGUGUUGCUAAGAAAACGAAAACAAUACAUAACACCGACUACAACCCUGAAAUAAUAGAAAUCGACCGAAACAUCAUCCAUGCGUCUCAGGAACGCAAGCUAGUAUAUCAGUAUAUCUACUGCAAAUGGAAAAGACAGCGGUCAUGGAAAGAAAAAUACACCGUCUUACUGACCGAAUGGACAAAAUGGAUGGAUCGCUUUCAGAUACGCUAAUAAUGCUGCCAUCGAUCUUAUAAGAACUAUACGUAGAGACUCCAUGUCAGACACCAACAUUCACUUUUGAUGCAGCCAAUUCUAUCGAGCAGUUGGAAGAACUGGAAACGAAACCGAAUGAUGAAUCUUUCCACCAAGAUAUGGUUCGUUGUCUGGAAUGGAAUGUGAUUGGAUCGAAAUCAGAAAAGCGAAUGAACAUAUUCUUGGACCUUUUCGACUCAACUUUCGAUCCUUUCGACCUUUCGACUGACCUGCAGUGCGAUGACACUUGGACCGAAACUACGAUCAAUGGAAAAGACAGAAUAGGAUUACAGUAAAAACGAAAUAUCACAAUACUUAUCAAAUCUAUUGCAUCAACUGAAAUGGAGAAGGUAAAUGAUAAAAUAGUUGGAACGUUUAUGAUUAAUAAAUUAAGGAACACUAAGAAACAAUUAAUAUGGAGUGGAUUAAAAUCUAGUAACUCAUCAAAAGUCACUAAUGUAAGUAAUGUUUCUAUGGCCAAUGAUUUUUUAGUAUUUGGUCCAGAUGCUAGCUUUAUUGAUUACGUGGAUAGUAUAGCACGUUGGCUGCCCUGUGAAUCUGGUUCGUUUUAAUCGUCCAAUACUUGAUGCAGUCUUCAAAACCAAUCCAUCCGGCAGUGCAUACCGGCAUACCGUCGAAAGCCAUCCGUUCAUGUGUCCGCGACGACGGCACGCCGGCGAUUCGAAAGCUCGUGGCUCAUUGGGAUGGCAACUACAACUAAAAUCACGUUAUCGUUUUAGUCUACAUUGGUGGCUAUUGAUCAUAGAAUGACAAUGUAAACUUUCGCUUACAUUUUUUCUCGAAAUGCUUAGGUUUAUUUCAUUUGUAUAUGUUACAAUAAA